CGGUCUUGGUCUCGAGACCACUUUUACGUGGUCUUGGUCUCGACGGACUUUUGUCUUGGUCUCGGUCUUGGUCUCGCUGUUUCGGUCUUGCGUUCUCAAAUCGACAUAGUGUUCGGGAGAUUUGGAGUCAACCAUCAGCGGAGCGGGGGGGUGGCUUACUGGGCUUAAGCCAGGGUCAUUUUUUCAGAAGCAUGGGGUCUUUUGGAGUGUAAUUUGUUAGUUAGAUGCCUGACUGACAACUGUAUAAAACAAAAGCAACACACGAAGCACAGAGCGCGCCGUCGUAAAUUCCCCCUAAUUUUGGUAUGAUCCGAGCUCAGGCACUAGGUGACUGAGCACAGCACGCAUGUGAGCGAGUCGGGAGAAGCUGCUGCCUGUGAGUUUGCUGCAGACAGAGGAGAGCUUAAGUUUAACCAGCAGAUUGAUGAGACAACAGCAGAGCAGGAAACAUGAGCAGAUACAGGAGACACGGUGCAAAAGGAGCCAUCAUGGAACAACAGGAAGGUGCUGAGACCAGGGCUGAUCCACCAGGGGGCGACCCUGUUGACUUCAGGGGUACAGUGUUUCGUUUCUGACUGCGAUCACUGCUCUCGCAGUUUCUGAAGUUUCAACCUCACUAAGCAACCUGAGUGUCCAUGGAAAAAUUUCAAUGAUUGCUGCCCUUCCCUCAGCCUGGUUCUGCUGGAGGUUUCAUCCUGUUACUGUCAUGGUCUGGGUGAGUUCUGAAGCACCUGUGUUCCUGGCAUCUCCACCCCUGGGCGGGGUCCUUUUGUUUCCUCUGACCGGUGGCACUUGUGAGCAAUUAGGCUGUGGAGAUAUAAGACCAGCGCGUGCAACUACUCCUUGCCAGAUCGUCAGCCCACCCGUGUUAGUGAAUGUUUCGCAGUCACUGAAUGUUGUCAAGUUUUUACUAGAAUUAAUUCUGUGCUCUCUGCUCACAGUUAAACCUCCGGACAUCUUGCAAUCAGGUUCCCAUUUCCUCAUUGACUUGGAUUGCUGGAUUACUCGCAGCCUAACCGGACACGCUCACCUGCCCGCCCCCUGUGCCCAGCACAUUGUGGAUGCAUUGAAUAUCUCCUUCAUGUCACCCAGACCAUCUUCCCCCUCUAUGCUUUGCCUCCACCUGUAGAAAUGACUUGGGUUUCAUGCUUCCUCCUUUUUCCCCGGGUUCCUGCUCUGGACAGUGUCGGGUUCCCAGCUAUGUCCACGACAGCCCCAAGGCUUCCUCAUGGACUUCCUCACUGACUAUUUAAUGCGAACCAUGUAUUCACUGUAAAUGCGUAUAUAGAGGGACUCAUGUAGUGUCUCUUCCAGUAGGGCAACGUUUAUAGUAUUCACCUGGAGUGUUUAGUAUUGUGCUCAGGGAAUCUUAGUUUGACCUUCGUUUGUAGUGAGACUAACUACAUUCUGUUUUUGCUGCAGGGUUUCCUUAGCUCAUUGAGAUGAUAAUUAAUCAGAUGAUCUCGUGGUGUUUCAUUAUUUGAAGUCAUAGCUAAAUCUGAAUUAACAGUGACUGGUCUGAAUUUAUGUAAUCCCCAAGGUUUUAGUAAAUCAUGUCAGACAUUGUUUAUUUGAGUUGUCACCCUGUCGGUACUGUUAUUUUGUAAAUAAAGUUUCGGAUAUUUGCAUUCACUUCACGUGAAUGGGUCAUGA